AACGAACGCUGGCGGCAGGCCUAACACAUGCAAGUCGAGCGCCCCGCCAGGGGAGCGGCGGACGGGUGAGUAACGCGUGGGAAUAUGCCCUUUGCUACGGAAUAGUCUCGGGAAACUGGGGGUAAUACCGUAUACGCCAUUUGGGGGAAAGAUUUAUCGGCGAAGGAUUAGCCCGCGUUGGAUUAGGUAGUUGGUGGGGUCAUGGCCUACCAAGCCGACGAUCCAUAGCUGGUUUGAGAGGAUGAUCAGCCACACUGGGACUGAGACACGGCCCAGACUCCUACGGGAGGCAGCAGUGGGGAAUCUUAGACAAUGGGGGCAACCCUGAUCGAGCCAUGCCGCGUGAGUGAUGAAGGCCUUAGGGUUGUAAAGCUCUUUCAGCUGGGAAGAUAAUGACGGUACCAGCAGAAGAAGCCCCGGCUAACUCCGUG
rnacentral:rRNA from 1 species